rnacentral:tRNA from 1 species
GGUAUAGCUCAGUGGCAGAGCAUGUGCUUGGCGUGCACGAGGUCCUGGGUAAAAUUCUCAAUGCC